rnacentral:rRNA from 1 species
AUGAACGCUGGCGGUAUGCUUAACACAUGCAAGUCGAACGGUAACAGAGGAAAGCUUGCUUUCUUGCUGACGAGUGGCGGACGGGUGAGUAACGCGUGGGAAUCUACCUAGUAGCGGGGGAUAGCCAGGAGAAAUCCUGAUUAAUACCGCAUACACCCUACGGGGGAAAGAGGGCCUCUACUUGUAAGCUCUCACUACUAGAUGAGCCCGCGUUAGAUUAGCUAGAUGGUGAGGUAAGAGCUCACCAUGGCGACGAUCUAUAGCUGGUCUGAGAGGAUGAUCAGCCACAUUGGGACUGAGACACGGCCCAGACUCCUACGGGAGGCAGCAGUGGGGAAUAUUGGACAAUGGGCGCAAGCCUGAUCCAGCAAUACCGCGUGUGUGAAGAAGGCCUUAGGGUUGUAAAGCACUUUUCUGAGUGAAGAAGGCUUAGUACUUAAUACGUGCUGAGAUUGACGGUAACCCAGGAAUAAGCACCGGCUAACUCCGUGCCAGCAGCCGCGGUAAU